rnacentral:rRNA from 1 species
CCCCUAGAUGUUCUGGGCCGCACGCGCGCUACACUGAACAGUUCAACAAGUCUUAACCUUGGCCGAUAGGUCUGGGUAAUCUUUGAACGCUGUUCGUGAUUGGGAUAGACCUUUGCAAUUAUGGGUCUUCAGCGAGGAAUUCCUAGUAAACGCAAGUCAUCAGCUUGCAUUGAUUACGUCCCUGCCCUUUGUACACACCGCCCGUCGCACCUACCGAUUGAAUGGUCCGGUGAAAUCUCGGGACGGCGGCUUGGUCGCUUGCGUCCGACUGCUGAAACUUGAUUAAACCAUNUNAUUUAGNGGAAGGUGAANUCGUANCA